AGUGAACGCUGGCGGUAGGCCUAACACAUGCAAGUCGAACGGCAGCACAGUAAGAGCUUGCUCUUACGGGUGGCGAGUGGCGGACGGGUGAGGAAUACACCGGAAUCUACUUUUUCGUGGGGGCUAACGCAGGGAAACUUACGCUAAUACCGCAUACGACCUACGGGUGAAAGCAGGGGAUCUUCGGACCUUGCGCGAUUGAAUGAGCCGAUGUCGGAUUAGCUAGUUGGCGGGGUAAAGGCCCACCAAGGCGACGAUCCGUAGCUGGUCUGAGAGGAUGAUCAGCCACACUGGAACUGAGACACGGUCCAGACUCCUACGGGAGGCAGCAGUGGGGAAUAUUGGACAAUGGGCGCAAGCCUGAUCCAGCCAUACCGCGUGGGUGAAGAAGGCCUUCGGGUUGUAAAGCCCUUUUGUUGGGAAAGAAAAGCAGCAGGUUAAUACCCCGCUGUUCUGACGGUACCCAAAGAAUAAGCACCGGCUAACUUCGUG
rnacentral:rRNA from 1 species